UCUUUUUUUUUUUUUUUAGCUCCAGCGCAGUUUGCAACCUUCGAUUCCUGGAUUGGGUCUCCUGGCGGCGGCUCUGGCCUUUCGCAGCGAGCGUCGGUGCAUCGCGCGGCUCGUCUCCAGCCCGGAUGAUUUAGCCCCGGGUUUGUGAGGUUGAAAUCUCAUGGCCCCGCGACGCGGAGCUUAACUUCCAUAAUUGCGCUUCGCGGGGUAUUUGUGAAUUUUAUGAGCUGAACUUGUGACCCCGGACGCAUCGUCGCGGGACAGUUUCUUUUUCCUUUUUCCCUCCAUCCCCCCCUGUACAUGAUAAACAUCUGCGAACCUCCCCAGAGCUGACGACGAUGACAACUUACAGCAAAUUAUUUAAAAAAAAAAAAAAAAAAGAAGAAGAAAGAAAAAAAAACUGCUGAAAUUUCCCCCUUUCCUCUGUAGCUCCCUGGUGCCUUCCCUGUCCUCUUAUCCCACUCUUCUUCUUCUUCUUCCCUCCCAUGUGUUUCUGUAGUCUUUGGAGUCUUCAGAAGGGGGUGAGACAGGAGGAGGAGGAGGAGGAGGAGGUACAGAUCCUGCUGCACAUCUGAGGUUUAUUUGGCCUUCCCCCUGGGGAGUGCGGUGAAGCUCUGCAUCUCAAGGAAAUUGCCAACACUUUCUGGUCAGCUUGACACACUGGAACACACACUCAGGCCUCCAGCUGGACACUGGAACAAAAAUGAUGCACAUCUCACCUCUCCGACCCCGACUCCUGCUCCUGCUCCCGCUCCCACCCCUCCCUCUCCCCUUCAUAUCGAUCCCCAACCUGGCGGAGUUUAACAUCUGGGGGUCUGAAACACGGUCGGAGGCAGGUGGCUCCCCCCUCCCCACCCGCCCCCCGUGACCCGGACGCACUUAUCCCCCGAUGCCUGGUGACCUCGAACAGGAAGUGACUUCCCGGGCCAAGUGACCUCCCCUGGUGGCCCUUCCUGUCCCCACGUUGCCUCGCAGGAAGGAAGGAUGCGGUCUGUUGUCCUCAGGCGCCGCUCUCGCGCUCUCCCUCGCCCUCCCUCGCCCUCCCUCGCUCUCCCCUCCUCAGCCCGACUAGAGAAAAACCAGAUUAUUGAUUCCAGGCUUGUCUCUCCUCCCCGCGCUCCCUCUGCCCCCCUUCUUCUUCUUCUUCUUCUUUUUUUUAUUUUCCCCCUUCUACUUCUUUUUGUGCCUCGUCCCUUUUCUCAUCGACUUCUCCCAUGUCUCAGCGCCCACUUUAUCUUUAUUUCGACGUCAUUCCUUUCGUCCUUUGUCAUCGUCUUCCGUGUCCCUUUGAAAUGCGAGCGAACACAACGGACACUGGCAAACCGCAGCGUCUCCCACCCCCCCGCCUUCUCCCAAGUGCCAUUCGGCUGCACUCAUGGGGCUCACAAGUCCGCAGAUUUACGGCCUCCGCUCGACUCCGUUUUUAUUCCUGACACUGUUUUGUUUACCCGUGUUGCCAUUAAUUUAUCGGCCAUACAUUUACAUUAAAUGUGACAGCCGUUUCAUGUGGCGCAGAAAAUCCCAAGGUCAGGCUUCUGGGUUUAGUCUGCUCUCAAAUGAUGCACAUGCGCCGCGCGAAUUAUAGGACACCAUUUGGUCGCGUUUAAGAGGAGAAGGGGACUUCCACGCAGACAGGGAGAGAGGGAUCUCGCUCGACAACAUCAAACGCUGUUUUUUGUUGUUGUUGGCCGUGGAUGAAGAACGGUGACUGGAAUCAAAAAAAAAAAAAAAAAAGAAAAAAGAAAAAGUUGAGAAGGUCAAAAACAACCAACGCGGCCACCGGUUAGCGUUAAAUCGGCCGCGGCCCCGUCAGGUUUUCCGUGUCUGCUGAUCCAUAUUUUCGCGUCUUCUUCUUCCGUGCAAGUGUCACGAUGAAGAUGACAAUGAUGAAGGCAGAACACGGCGUUUAGAGGCUCUGAUCUAAUCCUAACAUCAUGGUGUAAAUUAGCAUUUAUUUCUAAUAGCCGUGUCCGCACAAAACUAUUUCUGCCACUUGUCUUUACGUAUGAUGCACAUUUCACUUAAUAAAACUAAAGUUAAGUUAGAAUCUAAAUGUUUCAAGUUGAAACGCUGAACGGUAUGUAAUAUUUUGCAUGAAUAUUUAAUCCAAAGUUGUUACGUCAGGCUGUCAUUUAAAUGUGCUGCGUGCCUGUCGUGUUUUGGGGUGUUUAAAUAAAGAUAAAUAUUUAAGUUA